UGGGCGGUAGAUCAACUGGCAGAUCAUCAGAUUUUGAUUCUGAGGGUUGAAGGUUCGAGUCCUUCCCGCCCAGCCA
rnacentral:tRNA from 1 species